GGUACAGGUCGCAUGUGCUUCAGCGCAACGGCGACGUAUUGUAUACAGAAAACAAACCGUAUCUAUGGACAAAACUAAACAGAAGGAGACAUCUGGCUGUGUGACAGCCAAUGUGACAGGGGUUGCUAUGCCCCAGGCUGGUGUAGUGCUUCCUGCACAUGCAGGAAUACAUGAAGCAGCUGGCACAUGGUGCAAUCAGGGAGUGGUGGUGCAAUGCCCUGCAGUUGGUGCAAAAGAUUGUUAGCAGUGUAAUUACUUGCAAUGAGUUAUGUUAAUGGUAUUCCUUGUGUGAUCAGAAUAAUAAUAAGUGAUAUAUUUUCAA